rnacentral:rRNA from 1 species
CUCUGGUUUCUGAACAAAGGAGUCAUCCUAACUAGAGAUAAUCUGACGAGAAACUGGCAUGGUUCCAAGACAUGUUUCUUUUGCCAACAUGACGAGUCUAUCAAACACUUAUUUUUUGAGUGCAAGUUCGCUCGGGCAGUUUGGGCUAUGGUCCAAGUAGCUUCGAAUUUAUACCCACCACGUAGUGCACGGAAUAUGUUCGGCAACUGGUUGCGAGGUAUUGAUAAACAAUUUUCUGCACAUAUUCUUGUGGGAGCGGCGGCCUUAUGCUGGGCAAUGUGGCUUACCAGGAAUGAUGUGGUUUUUAAAAAUAAAUUUGUCUAUCUCAUAUGCAGGUUAUUCAUGUUUGUAUACGAUGGCUCCGUACUUGGUCUAUCCUGCAGAAGCCGGAAGACAGGGACAUUUUUAUGA